rnacentral:rRNA from 1 species
UACCAGCACCCCGAGUGGUCGGGACGUUUAUUGGGCCUAAAGCAUCCGUAGCCGGUUCUACAAGUCUUCCGUUAAAUCCAACUGCUUAACAGGUGGGCUGCGGAAGAUACUAUAGAGCUAGGAGGCGGGAGAGGCAAGCGGUACUCGAUGGGUAGGGGUAAAAUCCGUUGAUCCAUUGAAGACCACCGGUGGCGAAGGCGGCCACCUGGACGGUUACUGACGCUGAGACGCGAAAGCGUGGGGAGCAAACAGG